CAAGAUCAGGAUGAUUGUGAUGUGAUGAUUGAGCCUGCCGCUGCCCUCAGGGGUCUCUAUGCGAUGAUGGUCUCAUGGUGUGACCAAUUCCUUGAUAUUGAUAUUGAGGAGGGAGGGGAUAGAUCCGUUCCUCCCUUGUUGAUGAUCCACUUUCCCCGUCUUUUUGAGAGAGCAUGGGGAAAUAAUCGCCUAUAUCCUCAAGCUUUAGAUGACUGGUGUCCGUAUCGUGCAUACCUCCAGAAGUUCUGCGAUCAUAAUGCUCCUCGUUAUCAUGAUCCCGAUGCCUACAAGUUGUGUAUGGAUCAAGAAAU